UGUAAAUUGAUUCUAACAAAAAGAAAUUUGAUUUUUUUUAAUCUGAGUUUGUAAAAAAUAAGAUUCAUCAUACCCUAUUAUCUCAAAUUUAUGAAUUAUUCGGGUUCAAGAUAAAAUCUUCUUUUUCUUUCAAGAAAUCCAAUUAACCAAGAUUUGUUAAAAAAUAUUUUUCUCAUCGUUUAGUAAAUUUUUCUGCAACGUUGAACGGUGAAGUUGUGCUAGCAAUACUG